rnacentral:misc_RNA from 1 species
GCAAUUGUAGCUUAAAAAAUAGCAUUGGUCUUGUAAGCCGAAGAUUGGGAUAUAGCUCCCCUAUUGCUACGGACCUCUUGAGUAUGGUUAGUACAUUUGCCUUCCAAGCAGAAAGAUUAAGAAGCACUUAAAGGAGGUAUAUACCUAGGAUAUAGCAUAAUCAAAAUGCAUUUCGCUUACACCGAAAAGAUGCUUUAAAAAUGAGUUGUCCUAAGA